AACAAGCCAAAGUUUUAAGCAAGACUAACGUUUUUAGCGUUUUUUGCGUCACCGUUGGAUUUGUGGGAAGUUGGAUUGUUGGAUGUUGGAACGUAGGAAAUUCCCGCGGAAGUUAGAUUUAAAGAAAAUAAUUAUUUAUAAAAAUAAUUCGUAAAUUCAAAUAAAAUAUAUUUCUCAUCUUUAUUUUUAUUAUAAGAGCUUCUACUGUUGUUAUUUAAUUCAAUUCUCCUUGGCAACAAUAAAUAAAGUUACAACUGCGCCACUGGAAGUUAGCGGCCUGUCUGUGAGAACAAAACAUGUGUGUGUUAACGGCUGACAAAAUUACAGAAUUCGCCGCUAAAACAACUUGACAGCUUAUAAAAACUAUGUGAAUACUUUAUAUACAACUCAUGGAUAUACGAAAUGCCGGUGAGUACAACUGUGAAAGCGUUAAAUUAAAAAUCGAACUAAUAAUCAUCAACGAUUAGCUUGACAUGUUAUAACUACUGCGCAUGAGCAGGAAUUUACACAUUCAUUCAUAAAGAUGAACACUCAGAACAGGUGCUCGUGAUAUUUACAUUUCAUAGUUUACAAUGGAAAACUUCAUAUAGCAACGAUUCAAUCAACAGGACUGAUAUCAGGAAUAACAUUUCUUCAUACAACAACUACAGUUUAUUUACAACACGCAUAAAAAUGGCGUUUUCUAACAGUAACUCUAUGUGGAUUGACAUGAGCACAUGUUUACAAAUGCAAAUUAAUUUUGGAACGAGGCACUGGCAGCAGACGACACUUUAGCCUUAGAUAACAACACGAAGAAGGAAAAACGUUUCAACAAUUUCAAAUGAAUUAACAUG
rnacentral:lncRNA from 1 species